UACACACUCAUUCACACAAAUAAUACACUCACAUUACACUACAAGGAACCUUGGAAUCAGGUGAACUUUCAACAACUCCUUUUAUUUUAAGGGCCCCAACAGACAUUUUUGUUUUAAGUGUGCACACUACUUUUUUUUAUUUUUCUUACUGUUUGGUAUAUUCUGCAUUUUGUACGAACCAGACAAAUUACUUUGUUCACUGUAAAAUAUAAGAGUGGCUACUCAAUUGUUACUCUUGUGUCUGCCUCAUUGUUGUUGCUCAGUACAGUGGCUCCUCUCGAAUUUGGUCUCUUCUGAUUCUGGUCCUGGUCUUAUUGUUAGUCCAACUUAUAUUAUACUGUAAUUCACUUUUACACUCCUAAAAUUGGUUACAUUUGCGUCACAUCCGCAGUCUCUCUUUUAUCACACCAUUCUCUUUCCCCUUCUCUGAAUCUCCUCUUCCUCCACUGAAUAAUUUUCUCUGUUUGCCUGUCUUUCUGUCUGUAGGUUUGCCUGUCUCUAUGUCUGUAGGUUUGCCUGUCUUUCUGUCUGUAAGUUUUUCCUGUCUCUCUGCCUGCAGGUUUGCCUGUCUUUCUGUCUUUAGAUUUGCCUGUCUCUGUGUCUUUGGGUUUGCCUGUCUUCUGUCUGUAGGUUUGUCAGUCCGUCUGUGUGUCUUGGUUGUGGAGGGGAUUCGACAUGGAGACUGUCUCUGGAAGGCGGCUGAAACAGACCGUACCAUAUCCUUCUUCUGGAGUUGCCUGGGAGAUGAUUAUUUUGGUCAUUCCUUAUUUUCUUUCUUUCUUUCUUUCUUUCUUUC
ensembl:lncRNA